rnacentral:rRNA from 1 species
CGCGUGAGGAACCUGCCUCAAAGAGGGGGACAACAGUUGGAAACGACUGCUAAUACCGCAUAAGCCCACGGGUCGGCAUCGACCUGAGGGAAAAGGAGCAAUCCGCUUUGAGAUGGCCUCGCGUCCGAUUAGCUAGUUGGUGAGGUAAUGGCCCACCAAGGCGACGAUCGGUAGCCGGACUGAGAGGUUGAACGGCCACAUUGGGACUGAGACACGGCCCAGACUCCUACGGGAGGCAGCAGUGGGGAAUAUUGCACAAUGGGGGAAACCCUGAUGCAGCGACGCCGCGUGGAGGAAGAAGGUCUUCGGAUUGUAAACUCCUGUUGUUGAGGAAGAUAAUGACGGUACUCAACAAGGAAGUGACGGCUAACUACGUGCCAGCAGCCGCGGUAAAACGUAGGUCACAAGCGUUGUCCGGAAUUACUGGG